ACUCGUGACGGUGGAUGUCUUGGCUCCAGCAACGAUGAAGAACGCAGCAAAAUGCGAUACGUAGUGCGAAUUGCAGAACCCGUGAAUCAUCGAAUCCUUUGAACGCAAGUUGCGCUCGCGGGCAAUCCUGCGAGCAUGUCUGUUUGAGUGUCCGCACAAAU
rnacentral:rRNA from 1 species